rnacentral:rRNA from 1 species
UACGUAGGCAGCGAGCGUUGUUCGGAUUUACUGGGCGUAAAGCGUGCGUAGGCGGCGGUCCAUGUCUGGUGUGAAAUCUCCCGGCUUAACUGGGAGGGUGCGCCGGAAACUGGGCCGCUGGAGUACGGGAGAGGCAAGCGGAAUUCCAGGUGUAGCGGUGAAAUGCGUAGAUAUCUGGAGGAACACCCGUGGUGCAGACGGCUUGCUGGACCGUGACUGACGCUGAGGCACGAAAGCGUGGGUAGCAAACAGG